AUUGCAGGGGACAGGGGCUGCUGGAUUUGAAUUUCUGAAUUGAAAAUUGUUGUUUUGGCUUUGGGCAGACUCCAAACCAAAAGGCGCUCAUUCUUUGGUUCCAGUUUGGAUGAAGCUGAUAGCUUUUAAGAGCAGAUUAUGAAGUGCGGAUGCCUUAGCUGGACCUUAGCCUUGAAAAUGAAUCUUUAAAAAUCCUUUCCUUCAACCUAUCUCAGCAUAUUGCAUGAUUCACUUUUUUAAAGAACCAAAUUUCUCAUGCUGCCACAAGGCUGUUUGUUUCACACACAUUUCUAUCAUUUUCCCUGAAAAAGGUCAAAAAGAAGAGUUACUGAGCACAGGAGAUCACUGUUACUUCCCUUUGCAAUUGGCUCAGGCUGCCAAGGGCAACAACCGCAUUCAGCUAUAGUGAUCUUGCCUUUUUAGAGAACUAUUCAAGGAAAGAGGAGGCGAUAGUUCAAGAAAAAACAUUCAGCAAGCUAAGGGGUGAACCUCUUAGCUGUGCUGUUUGAUAGGAUGAACACCAGAGGGGGUCAGCAGAACGGUGUCUGUCCAACUGCACAAAGAAAGCAUCAGUGCAACCAGAUUAGACGGCUCGAACACUAUCAUGCUGAUUCUGACUAUUAAAAAUAUCUUUCACAUGCUGCAUUUGUAGAGCACUGGGGUAUGCAGCCCCUCAAAACAACAAGCCAAACAUGAUCAGAGCCAGAACACAGAUAUUGUAUCAGACUGACCUGUAUCAUUAUUUAUUAUUUGUAUUACUGGAGUGCCUAGGAGCCUUAGACAUGGACGAAGAUCCUAUUGUGGUGGGAUCUGUGCAAACAGAACAAAUGCAGAAGAAAUAGAUUGUUAACACUGUAUCCUGUUUAUAAAACACUUUUGGUCUGGACAGUGCUUUGCAAUGUAUAUUGGCCAGGUUUGCAAACUGGUCUCUAAAACUUGGACCUGCAUAUUUUGCACAUGAAACUGUUUUCACUCUCUCUCUCCCUCCCCCCUCUCCCCCCCCCAAAAAGGACAAAAGAAAAGGCGUUAUCAAAGAUGCUGUCAAAAUGGGGCAUAUUUGGGACAAACAUGUGAAUGGGGCAACUCAAAUCAAGGAUGUGAUCACUGUGUGAAGCAAGAGGAUGUCAUGUGCAAGAUCAACCACAGCAACUGGGAAACAGGAGGCUCACACAACAAUUUAAAGGAAAAGUCCCAAGAUACUUAUUCCUGCUGCCAGAGGAAAGAAGAAAUCAUUGGACAGGUUAUGCUUUGUUCAGGAUACCAGCAAGAACUGUAGAUAGACUGACAGAUGCUGCACUGUAGAAAACACGGCAAAAAGCCAUCACAUUUUGUUCAUGCUACAAGUGCAUAGGAAAUCCACUCCACAUCUGGACAACUAAAUUGACUGGAGUUACUCAAGCUUUGAUGAAAACACAUUUAAUGUUAAAAGAAAACACUGGUAAGGCCAAAAAGAACAAGAAAAGAGCCUUUCAAACAGUCAUGGAGAAAUUCAGGCAACUGGUAGGGUUCAUUACUACAGAUCGGCACCAUAUGCAACUUUUUAUUAUGGACACAUUAAGGGAGAAUCUUACCACUGAUUGGAUGGAAAUAAAGAGCAAAGCACCACCAGAUAAAGGAUUGUAAGCUCUUUGGAACACAGCCUGUUUUGGUUCUGGGUUUGCACAGCACCUAGCGAAGUAGGGUACUGACCCAAACUGUGGGGAGUCUAAAAGAAAAUUCAAUGAGGGAAAAUGUUUCCCCAGAGGAUUCAACUCCAGAUCCAAGGUAAGGGUUUCCCAGUGUACUGGUGUCUAGUGGACUGUACUACAGACAGAGACUUUGGAAACUUGUCAUACCAAUACAGCAUUUAUUUGAUUUUACUUCCAGCCCUGUGCUCAUUUGUGUAGAACAUGUUGUGACCCGGGGUGCCUAGGGCAGCCUUCACUGACAAUGACAAGGUCAGGACAAGCUGCAAAAGGGAGCACAGACACUCCCCAAACUAGUGGUAAAUACUGAAGUUAAGCUCACCCACCAGUCACAAACUGUGCUUCUGAUCCCCCACGCUGGUUAUCGAGAAGCUAAAAAAAAGAAGUCACACAGCCCCCUUUCUUGCAUUCCAGUUCUCUGGCUCCCAAUCAGCGCAUAGGUCCAGUACAGCGAGAAGUUAUU